ensembl:lincRNA 1700001L05Rik RIKEN cDNA 1700001L05 gene
AGUUGGUCUCUGAGGCGGCGGCGGUAACAGUUAAUCUCAGGAGGUCCUGCUCGGUCCGGGCGCCAUGCCUCUGGAUCGUCAGGUGGCCAUGGGGAACCUUGGCAAUCAGGACAUACUGGCCAUCUUCUACCGCCUGCGCUUCGUGCUUAGCAACCACAUAGAGGCCGCCUGGCGAGCCCGGAACCCGGCAAUGGACGUGGGAGGAGGAGGAGAAGGCGCCCGGUUGGUCAACGGUCGUAUUCGCCCACGCGGGUUCUGAGUGACUUGGAGCACUGCUCGCCCUCGCCCAAUGCCUGGCAUAGGAUAUGACUGUCAAUAUUUAGCUCAACAAGAAGACAUGGCAUUUACACACAAAAGGAAGACAUGAUUCAUUGGUUUUAAGUAAAUACAACAUAAUGCAUCCUAAAAGUGCCUGGACUCUAGGGCUGACUGAUGGAGGACCCACCAUGACCCAUUAAUCCCCUAAUAAUUAACACAUGGAAUGGGGUACCAGUGAUGAAAAAUGACCACAAUUAACUCCCUUUCAAGACUCAUUCCCAGAUAUCUGAUCUGACCAAAACUGGGAUCUCUGGGUCCUUAAUUAACAGUGAAACAUCCUCUCAUUCUCUUGGUUCUGCUUCUGUUGAGAGGCCCUGCUUAAAUCACUUUCUUCAGCUCGUUGAAAGCAGCAGGACAAAAAAAGCACUGCUACUACCACAAAGGAAGCUGGGCCACUUACCUUUGAAGAUGGCUUGCACACCUCAUCUUUAAGUCUUUCCCUAAGAAUGGAUGGUGUGUUUUGACUGCAGUGCUAAAAGUCAGAGCUGAGCAAAUAUAACCUACAGAAUAUUUCUUUUCAUCAGUUGCUUGGAGUCACAUAGUGGUCACUAAAGUUUUACCUGUAUGUCAAUGACCCCAUGAAGUUAAGAGACAGUUAUUUUCAUAGCUGGGAUGAUAGUGCCAACUGCUACUAGAAAGAGGAUGAGACAUUUAGACCACUGUGUCAAAGCACAAGCUCUUCAGGCAAAUGUAAGCUACAGGACCAGGAAGCCAGAACUACAGACUGAAGUGCCUUCUGCACCCUCCUUUCCAGCAUUCAGUUCACAUGCAGAGUGGCUGGCCGGUGAUGUGUGCAGUAUGUAGAAAGGCAGGUAGGGCCAGGACAUAAGUGAGCCACACUUGGUCUGCUACUGCCUGGCCUACAGCCAAGCAGGGCUGGGCAGGAGCCAUCAGGAGCUUUGAUGCUCUGCUCCAGCUUUCAGAUGGAAAAGGAAGUGGAUUGCUCUCUGGGUCCCUCCUGAUGUAGGCACACUGUCUCACUGUUCUGGUCUCCCCAGGACCUUCAGCCACCAAACUGUCAAGGUCAAUCAGGCAGCAGGGAUGAGAAGGCUUCAUGAAGAGGUCUACCAAGCACUGUUCUGGGUGCAGAAGACAUGCGGCCUGGGCGGUGCUGCAUCAGCCCAGAUGGAUUUCUAGAGUGCUGGGUCUGGCCAGGGCUGGCUGUGGCACCAGAAGAGAGAGACAGUGCCAGACCCAUUUGGAGCUGAGAGCAUCGAGCCCACCCUGCCCGCCCUGCUCAAGCCUUCCAUGGCUGUGUUGUGAAUGUGGUAUGAAAAACUCUGAAAAGGCCCAGGUGCUUCUCCAAACUGCUGGACCAUUUGGACACCUGCUCCACACUGAGAUGUGUUCUAACGAAGCUCUUCUAGGACUUCUCAUAGUUUUCCUCAUUCUAGGUUAAAAUUGGCACAUAACAGGUUUGUUCCCAUCUUCCCCUGUUCACCACACAUGCCCUGUAAUUUUUCUUUCCUCCCUAGGUUUCAAAUGUGGGAGCAAGAGUUUUCAGAGCCUACGUUCGCCAUGUUCAGGUCCAGUCCCUGUGCUUCUCCAUGGCCCAUCAUUCUCCCUGUGUCUGCUCUGCCUCUCACUGGAUAGAUGUAGGUGAGAGAUGUGCACCCCAGUACUCACUGUUUUGGGUCCCAAGUAUACAUCUACAUUGAUGGCAUAGCUAUGAGCGUAGCUGCCCCUUCCUCAUUCACCACAUGCCUGUGUUCAUUUUGUCAUUGGUGAGCACUGUGUUGUGCAACCUUCUAGCCUAGAUCUGGCCCCAGCAUCCUGAAGCAUAUGAGGCACCUUAGAGAAAAGGUCUAAAUGGGCCUUAUAAGAAAAUGAGAAUACUUUCUGUUGCAUUGUGUUUUGAGUCUUAAGUUACAGGCACAAAGCUGCAUGAAUUAAACAUUCCUAAAGUCUGUCUACUCAGCCUCUUACACUAGUCUGUCCACAGGAAAGGCAUUG